rnacentral:lncRNA from 1 species
CAGCAAAAAGCCAAGGAGAACCUCCGGCCCUCAGAUCCCUGGGUUCUGCAAAGAGUCGCCAUUUCUCAGAAACUAGAUUUUGACUCUAACAGCUUUGGAUUGGAGAAGCCGACCAGCGAGAGUGUAAAAUUAAUCUUGCAUAAGUGAUGAGCUUAUAAAGAGAGCCCCAGGGGAAUGAGGCUAGCACACUGCAAAACAUCACUUACCUAUUGCUACCUGGCCGAGUGUUGCAGGAGAAGAGAUUCUGGGGAAGGGAGGCUACAAAGCUCCCGGAUGUCCUAUCGUUUCAAACCAUCAGAUUGGCAGAAAGAGGAAGUCUCUGCUAGUUCUUCUUGAGAAAACGGCCAACACCUUCAUGAGCAGGGAGCAAGUCACAUGGGAAUUCUACCCCCCUUGAUGAUUUCUGAAAGUUCAGUUUGGCAUUAUCUUGAUUUGGAGGUGAGGAAAGAAGAGCAGAUGG